rnacentral:rRNA from 1 species
AGUGAACGCUGGCGGUAGGCCUAACACAUGCCAGUCGAACGGCAGCACAGUAAGAGCUUGCUCUUACGGGUGGCGAGUGGCGGACGGGUGAGGAAUACAUCGGAAUCUACUUUUUCGUGGGGGAUAACGUAGGGAAACUUACGCUAAUACCGCAUACGACCUACGGGUGAAAGCAGGGGAUCUUCGGACCUUGCGCGAUUGAAUGAGCCGAUGUCGGAUUAGCUAGUUGGCGGGGUAAAGGCCCACCAAGGCGACGAUCCGUAGCUGGUCUGAGAGGAUGAUCAGCCACACUGGAACUGAGACACGGUCCAGACUCCUACGGGAGGCAGCAGUGUGGAAUAUUGGACAAUGGGCGCAAGCCUGAUCCAGCCAUACCGCGUGGGUGAAGAAGGCCUUCGGGUUGUAAAGCCCUUUUGUUGGGAAAGAAAAGCAGCAGGUUAAUACCCCGCUGUUCUGACGGUACCCAAAGAAUAAGCACCGGCUAACUUCGUG